GAUGAACGCUGGCGGCGUGCCUAAUACAUGCAAGUCGAGCGAACAGAUAAGGAGCUUGCUCCUUUGACGUUAGCGGCGGACGGGUGAGUAACACGUGGGUAACCUACCUAUAAGACUGGGAUAACUUCGGGAAACCGGAGCUAAUACCGGAUAACAUUUGGAACCGCAUGGUUCUAAAGUGAAAGAUGGUUUUGCUAUCACUUAUAGAUGGACCCGCGCCGUAUUAGCUAGUUGGUAAGGUAACGGCUUACCAAGGCAACGAUACGUAGCCGACCUGAGAGGGUGAUCGGCCACACUGGAACUGAGACACGGUCCAGACUCCUACGGGAGGCAGCAGUAGGGAAUCUUCCGCAAUGGGCGAAAGCCUGACGGAGCAACGCCGCGUGAGUGAUGAAGGGGUUCGGCUCGUAAAACUCUGUUAUUAGGGAAGAACAAAUGUGUAAGUAACUGUGCACGUCUUGACGGUACCUAAUCAGAAAGCCACGGCUAACUACGUG
rnacentral:rRNA from 1 species